rnacentral:rRNA from 1 species
GACGAACGCUGGCGGCGUGCCUAAUACAUGCAAGUCGAGCGGACGAUUCGAAAGCUUGCUUUUGAAUCGUUAGUGGCGGACGGGUGAGUAACACGUGGGCAACCUGCCCUGUAGACGGGGAUAACACCGAGAAAUCGGUGCUAAUACCGGAUAACACGAAAUGUCGCAUGACGUUUCGUUGAAAGGCGGCGCAAGCUGCCGCUACAGGAUGGGCCCGCGGCGCAUUAGCUAGUUGGUGAGGUAACGGCUCACCAAGGCGACGAUGCGUAGCCGACCUGAGAGGGUGAUCGGCCACACUGGGACUGAGACACGGCCCAGACUCCUACGGGAGGCAGCAGUAGGGAAUCUUCCGCAAUGGACGAAAGUCUGACGGAGCAACGCCGCGUGAGAGAAGAAGGCCUUCGGGUCGUAAAGCUCUGUUGUUAGGGAAGAACAAGUAACGUAGUAACUGACGUUACUAUGACGGUACCUAACGAGAAAGCCACGGCUAACUACGU